rnacentral:rRNA from 1 species
UACGGGGGGGGCAAGCGUUGUUCGGAAUUACUGGGCGUAAAGGGUUUGUAGGUGGCUUGCUAAAUCAGACGUGAAAUCCCUCAGCUCAACUGGGGAACUGCGUCUGAGACUGGUAAGCUCGAGUGCAGGAGAGGAACGCGGAAUUCCAGGUGUAGCGGUGAAAUGCGUAGAUAUCUGGAGGAACACCGGUGGCGAAGGCGGCGUUCUGGACUGUAACUGACACUGAUGAACGAAAGCCAGGGGAGCAAACGGG